GGAAAUAAGUGCCGUCAGUGAGGGU
rnacentral:piRNA from 1 species